rnacentral:rRNA from 1 species
CCUACGGGUGGCAGCAGUGGGGGAUAUUGCACAAUGGGGGAAACCCUGAUGCAGCGACGCCGCGUGGGCGAAGAAGUAUUUCGGUAUGUAAAGCCCUAUCAGCAGGGAAGAAGAAAUGACGGUACCUGAGUAAGAAGCACCGGCUAAAUACGUGCCAGCAGCCGCGGUAAUACGUAUGGUGCAAGCGUUAUCCGGAUUUACUGGGUGUAAAGGGAGCGCAGGCGGCACGGCAAGCCUGAUGUGAAAGCCCGCGGCCCAACCGCGGAACUGCAUUUGAAACUGUUUUUCUUGAGUACCGGAGAGGUAAUCGGAAUUCCUUGUGGAGCGGUGAAAUGCGUAGAUAUAAGGAAGAAAACCAGUGGCGAAGGCGGAUGACUGGACGGCAACUGACGGUGAGGCGCGAAAGCGUGGGGAGCAAACAGGAUUAGAUACCCCAGUAGUC